rnacentral:rRNA from 1 species
CAGCCGCCGCGGGAAUACGAAGGGUGCAAGCGUUACUCGGAAUUACUGGGCGUAAAGCGUGCGUAGGUGGUGGUUUAAGUCCGUUGUGAAAGCCCUGGGCUCAACCUGGGAAUUGCAGUGGAUACUGGGUCACUAGAGGGUGGUAGAGGAUAGUGGAAUUUCCGGUGUAGCAGUGAAAUGCGUAGAGAUCGGAAGGAACAUCUGUGGCGAAGGCGACUAUCUGGGCCAACACUGACACUGAGGCACGAAAGCGUGGGGAGCAAACAGGAUUAGAUACCCCCGUAGUCCCUGUCUCUUAUAC